UAUUGUAUUUGAUCAAUUUAUUUUCUUAAAAGUUUUAUUCUUGCUUAUUUAUUCAUUUUUUCUUUUGAUCAUGUAAGAUUUUAAAGACUAAAAGUUCUUUUUGCAGUGAUUUGAUUUAAUUAUCAAUUAAUUUUGGAAUUAGCAAUUGAUUAAUUAUUGUCAUGUUUCGUGCCAGCAGACGCGGUUAGACGAUUAAUGUAAAUGAAUAUUUUCGGUUAAGGCAGUUAUUUUUAAUUUUAGAAUUAAUUUACAAAUUUAUGAGGUGGAAUUUUAAUUUUUUUUUUAAUUCUUAAUAUGAUUCUGUGAAACUUAAUUAAUAAACUAGGAUUAGAUACCCUAUUAUUUUAAGUGUUAAUUUUGUUUACCUGGGUAGUAUAAGUUAUGAUCUUUAAACCUAAAGAAUUUGGCGGUAUCUUAUUCCAUUUAGAGGAAUCUGCCCCGUAAUUGAUAAUGCACGAUUAACUUUACUUAAUUUAUUUGUUUGUAUAUCUCCGUUAUAAAAAAAUCUUUUUGGAGUUAUAAUUUUCUUGAUUUAUAAUUUUAAAAUAUUUCAGGUCAAGUUGCAGCUUAUAAUUAAAAGGAGGUGGAUUACAAUAAAUUUUAAUUUAUUAUGGAUUUAAUAUUGAAAUAUUAUAAAUGAAGGUGGAUUUAAUAGUAAUUUGAAUUACUUAAUUUAAUUGAUAUUGGCUCUAACAUGUGUACACAUCGCCCGUCACUCUCAUUAUAAAUACUUUACUUUAAUUUAAAGUUUUUUUCAGUUUAGAUGAGAUAAGUCGUAACAUAGUAGAUGUACUGGAAAGUGUAUCUAGAAAGAUUAU
rnacentral:ncRNA from 1 species